CGCGGGGACAACGAGUGGGGACAGCCCGUGGGCAUCACCCUGGCACCCCGAGGGGCUCAGGUCGGGCUGGCCACGGGGUCCCCUCGGUGGCCCGAAAUGGUCCGAAAUGGUCCCCAGCGUGGGAGCUGGCACUGAGGGUGACCCCCACGGGAGGUGGUGGCUGUGAGGGGCUCUGUGGUGGGCACUGCCCACCCUCAGGGGUCUGGGGGGCUCUGUGGUGGGCACUGCCCACCCUCAGGGGUCUGGGACCCACAGGAAAGGGGUUUCCAAGGCUGACGCCCAUCGCUGGGUGCCCAGGGAGCAGCCCGGGGCUGCGCCGCUCGUUCCCAUUGUGAGCUGGGAGUGGGAGGCUGCGGAGCCGCCGGGAGCUCGGGAUGGGCUCUGCUGCCAGGCACGGGAGCCUGGGGCUGUUCUUCCACCGCAGGACAAGGGAGCACCUGCCCAAACCAGCCCUGGCUGCUCCCAAACCAUCCCUGCCUGAUCCCCCAGCCAUUCCCAAACCAUCCCUGCCUGAUCCCCCAGCCAUUCCCAAACUAUCCCUGCCUGCAUUCCCUGACUUCUUCCGAACCAUCCCUGACUUCAUUCCCUGACCAUUCCCAAACCAUCCCUGGCUGCAUUCCCUGACUUCUUCCAAACCAUCCCUGAUUUCAUGCCCUGGCUGUUCCCAAACGGUCUCUGGUUUCAUCCCCCAGCCAUUCCCAAACCAUCCCUGGUUUCAUUCCCUGACCAUUCCCAAACCAUCCCUGGUUUCAUUCCCUGACCAUUCCCAAACCAUCCCUGUUUUCAUUCCCCAAGCCCUUCCUGCCCGAUCACCCUGGCCAUUCCCGAACCAUCCCUGUUUUCAUUCCCGAACCAUCCCUGCCAUUCCCGAGCCAUCCCUGCCUGCUCCCAGCUCUCCCUCCAGCCCCAUUUCUCCCUGUGCCGACACCUCCCCAGGGCCACUCCCGCUGUGCUCACACCUCUCUCCCUCUGCUCCAUCCCCGACUCCCUUCGUGAGGCCAAACUCCUGCCACCUCCCACGCUCCCAAGCCUCUCCCGUUGUCCCCGUUCCAGCCUUUGUGGGACAGGGACUGAGGGUGACACUGCGGCAGCUUGGCCCCAAAUCCGGGGCUGAAUCCCCCCCUUCCAUCCCCCCCGAGCUGCUGCCGUCCCUGGAGCUCAGCUCUCCGUGGGCUCCCGCUGCAGCACGGCCCUUUGGGAAGCCUCGCACGGAUACAAAAUGCAGCUGAAGGCGAUGAAAAUCCCUAAUUUUCCUGCUGAUUAGAACUGGAGCUGUGUGACAGCAGCUCUUGGCGUCCCUGUCAAGGCGCUUCAAAUGUUUUGUCACCACGUCUCCACGAGCAGGGAGAGAGCCUCGCUUAGGAAUUAUUGGGAAGGGAUUGACAGCCCUGCUCCUCCCGCUGCCUGCCGGGAUCAGGAGCUCCUUCCUCACCCUGUCAUGCUCUGCUGGGAGCCUCCCCAGCCUCCUCAUCCUUCCCACAGACAAAAAAACUCCCGGGGAUGGACGUUUCACCUCAAAAAUUGGGAAUUGUGCAG
rnacentral:lncRNA from 1 species